CAAUAAUACUGCCAAACCCCGGGUGACCGGGGGACGGAACGCCACGGGACUAAACAGCUUAUAGUCGGCCGGGUUGCCGGA
rnacentral:ncRNA from 1 species